rnacentral:lncRNA from 13 species
AUGACCCUAACCAACCUCACUACUCACUGGACCCUUUUGAUCACUCGACUAAACAUGCCUCUCCUUAAUGUCAAUAUGCCUUGUCCAUUGCUGUUCUGGUUAGUGUUUAUUGGCUUAUUUCACGGUAGAGCCUCUAGUCCUGAUCACUAUACCUUAUCCAACCUAUUAGUUCCACCACCCACACAUGCGAUGACAUCUCCUGGUUUCAAUGAUGUUUCUAGAGACAAUAUCUCUCUCAUCAUCACUCAAUACCUAGGUUUACCUCCACUGUAUUCACAUCCUACCAUACCUUUGUCUGUACAUUAUAACUUGAAGCUAUUUUAUCGCCCCCAGAAACCUCCUUUUACUCUCUGUUCCAGACGUUCUAGACGACCAAUUCUUAUUGCUUUUAGCCGUACCCUUAUCCUACUCCUCCUCUGUUCCUCUGGCGAUGUAGAGGUGAAUCCAGGCCCUGCAGUGCCUAGCUCCAUUCCUAUUCCCCAGGCGCUCUCUUUUGAUAACUUCUGUAACCGUAAUAGCCUUGGUUUCAUGCAUGUUAACAUUAGAAGCCUCCUCCCUAAGUUUGUUUUAUUCACUGCUUUAGCACAUUUUGCCAACCCGGAUGUUCUAGCUGUGUCUGAAUCCUGGCUUAGGAAGACCACCAAAAAUUCUGAAAUUUUCAUCCCAAACUACAACAUUUUCAGACAAGAUAGAACUGCCAAAGGGGGUGGUGUUGCAAUCUACUGCAAAGAUAGCCUGCAGAGUUCUGUCCUACUAUCCAGGUCUGUACCCAAACAAUUUGAACUUCUACUUUUAAAAAUCCAUCUCUCUAAAAACAAGUCUCUCACUGUUGCCGCCUGCUAUAGACCACCCUCUGCCCCCAGCUGUGCUCUGGACACCAUAUGUGAACUGAUUGCCCCCCAUCUAUCUUCAGAGCUCGUGCUGCUAGGCGACCUAAACUGGAACAUGCUUAACACCCCAGCCAUCCUACAAUCUAAGCUUGAUGCCCUCAAUCUCACACAAAUUAUCAAUGAACCUACCAGGUACCUCCCCAAAGCCUUAAACACGGGCACCCUCAUAGAUAUCAUCCUAAACAACUUGCCCUCUAAAUACACCUCUGCUGUCUUCAACCAAGAUCUCAGCGAUCACUGCCUCAUUGCCUGCAUCCGUAAUGGGUCAGCGGUCAAACGACCUCCACUCAUCACUGUCAAAAGCUCCCUGAAACACUUCAGCGAGCAGACCUUUCUAAUCGACCUGGCCGGGGUAUCCUGGAAGGAUAUUGAUCUCAUCCCGUCAGUAGAGGAUGCCUGUUUUUUUUAUUUUUUAAAUGCCUUCCUAACCAUCUUGAAUAAGCAUGCCCCAUUCAAUAAAUUUAGAACCAGGAACAGAUAUAGCCCUUGGUUCUCCCCAGACAUGACUGCCCUUAACCAACACAAAAACAUCCUAUGGCGUUUUGCAUUAGCAUCGAACAGCCCCCGUGAUAUGCAGCUGUUCAGGGAAGCUAGAAACCAUUAUACACAGGCAGUUAGAAAAGCCAAGGCUAGCUUUUUCAAGCAGAAAUUUGCUUCCUGCAACACUAACUCAAAAAAGUNNNNNNNNNNCCUCUGCUGUCUUCAACCAAGAUCUCAGCGAUCACUGCCUCAUUGCCUGCAUCCGUAA